GUCUGUUUUGCGAUACACACAAGGAUGAAGGAGGAGACCAACAUUAUGAGUAUUAUCUAGUAUUAUAUAGUAUUAUCAUAGAACGUAACGGAUGGACGUUUUCCCCAGGUUUAGUUACAUUAUGAGUAGUGGUCACUUAUUACAAAUAUGCAGUUAUUGUAAUUUAUUUUUGCUCUUUUCUUGUCUGGUCAAUUUAUUUUUGUUUUAAGGAACAUAAGUGUGUUUAUUGUUCCUGAGGAGGGAAUGAUAUAAAUUGACUAAAAUUGAUUUGAGAAUGUUUAAGUAUGUAUCAAACUGUGGAAGGAAAUUGGUAGUAAAUUAUGUGCUAUGGGUUAGAAGAACUAUGACUGCAUUGGGGAUCUGAGGGGGCUCAUAAAUGAAGGUUAUGGUAGUAGAGGGGUGUUAUUUCUAGAGACUAUGUAUAUUAAUAGAAGAGAGAACUCACAGAAGAGAAAGGACAGCUGGCUGUGUAAAAUAUAGGGAUGCACAACAUAGGGACAAUUCUGAGUAAAUUGAACAUUACACAUACCUAGAUUAUGGUAAGAGUAAAAGUGAUAGUGGUGACAUUUAACACUAUGGUAAAAGUUUAAGAGAGUUAUGACUUGGAGUUUUAAGAGGUUGGAUAGUCUUCCAACUGGAAGACACUUGACUGAUUACAUGUUAUUCUAACAGCAGUUGCUGUAGGGACCAUAAUUUGGCUAUCAUUAUGUAUAAGAAUAUCUGUGGUAGGAGGCGAGGUAUUUGAGACAAUGUUUAAAUAGGGCUGUUAUUUAAAUAUUCCAAGUAAUGAUCUUGACAUGAGAAGAAAGUCUGUUGUCAGGAAAUAACCCAUGUGUUAGUGUGUAUGUCCUCAGGAGAAAAGCAGCACAUAAGAAGCCAGAAAUAACCAAGGGCAUGGGCUGACUUCUAGAGAUUGAGUGUACAUCAAGAUAUACCAGGCUGGGGGUAUACUUCUUACAGCACCUGCAGUGGUAAAGAUCAUCAUGUCUCUCUUCGGUGGGCGCAUAAUUCUCACAAGAAGUAAGGUCCAGCUGAAUAAUGGUCUUAUGCUUAGGAACCAGAAGGAGAGGGGUCGCCAGCUUCAGCUGGAAUGUUAGUUGGUGUAUGAUGAGUGAUGGAAAUAAGUGGAUGUAUGGUGUGAUCAUAAAACAGAGGCCAUAAGUCUCUAAGUUUGAAUGCCUCACAGAAAGAAGGCAGAAACCUGAACCAGGACCAGAGGUUCCACGUCUGGUGAUCCAAGAGACCAGGUCCGAGUGUUCCGGAAGAAAGGAAUGAGCCAAGGAGGGAGGGUCCCUACAAGGUGGCUCGAACAA